ACGCUGGCGGCGUGCCUAAUACAUGCAAGUCGAACGCACGAAGUUGAAGAGCUUGCUCUUUAACCAAGUGAGUGGCGGACGGGUGAGUAACACGUGGGUAACCUGCCCAUUAGAGGGGGAUAACAUUCGGAAACGGAUGCUAAUACCGCAUAGUUUCAGGAAUCGCAUGAUUCUUGAAGGAAAGGUGGCUUCGGCUACCACUAAUGGAUGGACCCGCGGCGUAUUAGCUAGUUGGUGAGGUAAUGGCUCACCAAGGCAAUGAUACGUAGCCGACCUGAGAGGGUGAUCGGCCACACUGGGACUGAGACACGGCCCAGACUCCUACGGGAGGCAGCAGUAGGGAAUCUUCCGCAAUGGACGAAAGUCUGACGGAGCAACGCCGCGUGAGUGAAGAAGGUUUUCGGAUCGUAAAACUCUGUUGUUAAAGAAGAACAAGGAUGAGAGUAACUGCUCGUCCCCUGACGGUAUUUAACCAGAAAGCCACGGCUAACUACGUGCCAGCAGCCGCGGUAAUACGUAGGUGGCAAGCGUUGUCCGGAUUUAUUGGGCGUAAAGCGAGCGCAGGCGGUUCUUUAAGUCUGAUGUGAAAGCCCCCGGCUCAACCGGGGAGGGUCAUUGGAAACUGGAGAACUUGAGUGCAGGAGAGGAGAGUGGAAUUCCACGUGUAGCGGUGAAAUGCGUAGAUAUGUGGAGGAACACCAGUGGCGAAGGCGACUCUCUGGUCUGUAACUGACGCUGAGGCUCGAAAGCGUGGGGAGCAAAC
rnacentral:rRNA from 1 species